CCGAUAUAGUUUCUGAUCAGAAAUCAGAAUAGAUCAUAGAAUAAUAUAACCUAACAAAAAAUUAAUGACCACGCUCAAUAAGUUCACAAAACACAAAUUUUUAAAAUGUGAAAAUAAUUGCAAUUAUUUUGAAAUAUAAUUCGAAGAUACUGCCACAACAUUAGACUGGAGGUCUACCGACAAAAACAUGGUUCUAAGAUAUAGAAUGAUAAAUGAUAUUGGGAGAACCGUAAACGUUAUACGUCAACCCUUUCGCAAAGUUACAGCUCUUUACGGAGAAUACAAUAUUUGAUGAUGUCUUCUGAUAAAAUUUUAACUUUAACAUAUCAGUAAGUGUGGUACAAGUAUUCAUUGCGUACAGAACAAAAUUUAUCCCCA